rnacentral:ncRNA from 1 species
CUUGGCCGACAGGUCCGGGAAACCCGUUGAACCCCGGUCGUGCUAGGGAUAGGGAAUUGCAAUUAUUUCCCUUGAACGAGGAAUUCCCAGUAAGCGCGAGUCAUUAGCUCGCGUUGAUUACGUCCCUGCCCUUUGUACACACCGCCCGUCGCUACUACCGAUUGAAUGGUUUAGUGAGGUCCUCCGAUUGGACCCGGUCCGGGCGGCGACGUCCGAGCCGGCGUCCGAGAAGACGAUCUAACUUGAUCAUUUAGAGGAAGUAAAAGUCGUAACAAGGUUUCCGUAGGUGAACCUGCGGAAGGAUCAUUA